rnacentral:misc_RNA from 1 species
UCCGGCUUAUCACCGGCAGUUCCACUAGAGUGCCCAGCUUAACCUGAUGGCAACUAGUAGCGAGGGUUGCGCUCGUUGCGGGACUUAACCCAACAUCUCACGACACGAGCUGACGACAGCCAUGCAGCACCUGUGUUCCAGCCAGCCGAACUGAAGAAAACCAUCUCUGGUAAUCAUACUGGACAUGUCAAACGUGGGUAAGGUUCUUCGCGUUGCUUCGAAUUAAACCACAUACUCCACCGCUUGUGCGGGCCCCCGUCAAUUUCUUUGAGUUUUAGCCUUGCGACCGUACUCCCCAGGCGGGAUACUUAUUGCGUUAGCUUUAGUACUCAGGAGGUUAAUUUCCCAAACACCUAGUAUCCAUCGUUUACGGUGCGGACUAC